GUCAGCAUGAUAGACGGAGAGGCAAGGUAUAAUCCCGAUGACUCCCUGAUGAAACAUAUACAGAGGCUUAACCUAAUCCCUGAAGGAAUGACAAGGAAAGCAAGCACCUUAAAGAUGACCAUUCCAUUGUCUUCUGGCCUUCAUUGUUUCUGACUGAAAAUCAACCAUCUUUCAUAUUAUCGUUCCACUGUGGAAGUUGUCCAUGGAUCAACUAUUGAUAUUCCGUCAAGAUAACCAUUUCCCGGCUGAGUUCAGGUGCCUGAGGAAGAGCCACACCCUUGAAACAAAACACACCCAGAACAAACCGUACAGUCAUCUUUAACCUGGCCUGCUAUAGAAUGUCUCAGUUCCUUGUCACCUGGCACACAAGCUCCUGUGUUGAGUUGAACUGUAACUGGUUUUAUAUUGGGAGAGAGCGAAUUUGAAACCUUAAAAGAGAAAAAAAGUGGAGCAAAAUUGUUUGUUUUGACAAAGACUACAAGAUUUAAUAAGCAAGCUCUCAGUGAGAGUUCUUAAAAAGACAGACUUGUGUGUAUCAGGAGAGGCUGGGGAGGGCGUAGGCCAUAACGCACUGAUACGCAGGGGUGCACAGCUCCUGCGUUGGCUGGGGGUGGCUGGAGCUCUGCCGCACAAUUUCUUCACUUUGGGAUCCAGCUGCCCUCACAGCAAAGUCUCUCCAAACUUCUGUUCAGCAGCAACACAGGUAAUGUCUGCUCACAGUGUAUUGGCCAAACCAAGUCUCACAUCCAGGAGGGAGGGAAGUGUAAUUCUAUGACAGAAGAGGCAAUGAAUAUUUUGAACAUUAUACCUCUCCCACAGCUUGACAGAAGGAAGGAGUGGCAUGCAAGAAAAAUAUUAAACAACUAAUAUAGUCAGCAUGUUUGUUCAUUAAAAAAGGUAUUGAUGGAAAAUAAUGAAAAACAUAAAUUAGGGUUUUAAAAUAAUGCAGGAAAUCUAGGAUAAUGGAAAGUGGAGGAGACAUGAAUUUUAAAGAUUCUAAGGUCUUUGUACUUUUUGGUAUAAGGUCUUUGUACUUUUUGAUUAACUUUAAACUACUUUUAGGUAAAUGUGCAUUUUAGACACAGUAAUUAAGAGUAGAAAUAUAAUGGAUACCUUCCUAUUUCAGUUGAGAAGAAAGGGAUAUAAAGAAAUCAUAUCUAAUUCAUUAGAAAUAAGAGUAGUAGGUAAAACAUAAAUUAAAAAAAACAUAAUAAAGAGAAAAUGCAAAUGAGAUAACAAAAACAAGUUCAAAGAUUCAAACCUCAGCUAUGACCAAAAGAUCUCCUCAUUUAACAACAUAGACAACAAUAUUUAAAGUACUGGUAGUUCCUUACCUGGGUCAGGUUGCCUGCAGCCUUUAAGAAACCUUGGAAAUUCUGCUCAAGGAUUCUCACCAGUAACCCAGACUCCUCCAAAUGUCUUAAUAAAAUGUGCCAUUUGUAGUUUUCAGAAAUUGUAACAUGCAUAGGAGCCAGGUGAAGUUUGUCUUACAGAACAAUCUUACAAAGGCUUUUAACUCAGUGUUAAUGAUACCUAAAAGACAGACAAAGGCAUGAUACCCACUAAAGAACUAUGAAAUUAUGAAACAAACUUAGACGCAACUUUACAGUGGAAAAACUUGACAAACACUAGAACAGAGAUUUUAAAAGUAUCAGAAAUCUUGAAAAUAAAAAUCUAAUUUUUGAAAUUUAAAGGAGGCUUAAAACUCUAACUUUGGACAUAAGUGAAUUUAAAGGCAAUUUAGAAAAAGAAGGAUUUUUUUUUUAAUAUGAAAAAAAGUCAUUGAGGGGCUCCUGACUUCAGCUUAGGUCAUGAUCUCAGGGUCCUGGGAUUGAGCCCCUGCUUUGGGCUCCACGCUCAGUGGGGAGUCUGCUUCUUCCUCUCCCUCUGCCUCUACCCCUCCCCCUGCUUGUGCUCUGCCUGACUCUCUCAAAU